ACAGAACCGGUAGCCAGACGGUCGGUGCUUCAUAUGUCGGCUGGCGGUUUGCUGUUUAAAAGUGAAAACAUUAAGUUAAAAUUAGUGGGUUCUUUAAAAAAAUCAACAGAAUAGAUGAAAGGCUAUUUAAACUGUUUAAAGUAUAAAUUACUCUGUAAAUGAUUAUGAUGUCACAAAUGGGGGCACAGAGUCCUAUUAAACAAAACAUGAGAACUGUUACGCUUUAUGUUGGUUGAUCGCUGUCUUCCGAUCUUAUCUUCGCCCCAGUUUCUUUGCGGCACAGCCACAGGAAGUCUCCUGAGCUGAAGAGCAGAAAGAGAUUUCAUUAUCUUCCUUCAAGAGAAUGCGCAUGAUGGUGGAGAAGCUGGCGUAACUGUUUAAAUGAUGUUUAGUCAUUCGGGAUUUUGUUCCACUUGGAUCAGCAUUUGCCUCAUUGAUUUAUUGUUAUCGAAGGCGCAUGGAAAUGAACCUAACAAAUCUGAUGAACCAGGUACGUUGCUUUUGUAUUAUGGUCGUUGACAAAUUUGAUCAAAUGCACUCGCGGUUUCAUGUGCGUCUUUUCUGUUUUACCACGUGAUGUACAUUAUUUUCCCCCCUAAUACUCAGAUGUUAAGUAUGCGGUCAUCGGAACUGGGAUUGGACUGUUCUUUUCUUUAUGCUUUGUUGCCUUGAAGCUGUACAUGCUUAGAAAACACAUGCUAGACAAUGAACUGUCAGAGGCAGAAUCAGAUAAAAGACCAGCAUAUAUGAG